ensembl:lncRNA
GGUCAACGUUGUUACAUAAUCCAAUGCGUUGACACGCAUGUUCCCUUAGACGUGUGCCUUUUAAGCUUAUGAACUCUUUAUUUGUAUUUUUUUCUCUCUUUCCACUUUGUUGGCUGGAUGAGCAAAUACCAUCUGACAGGUCUCCAGACCAGAGCUGCAUCAACACACCGCGCAAAGAAACCAACCCCAGACCCACUACAGACAUGAUCAUCAGACUGGGCAGGCUGACCCCUGGAUACUUCCGCCUCCUACAGAGACAGGUGGCGGGUGAGGUGCAGACCCAGCCACAGGACCGCGCGGUCAACCAGAUAGCCAUGAUGCUGGCCAUCAUGGGCCUGAGCCUGUCCUACUACAGUGCCAAACGGAUGACGGAGAAGGUCCAUAGGCUCCAGAAGAGAAGAGAUCCCCAUACCCCCUGAAGAGACCCCCCUGGAGAUUACAGUGUCGGUGUCCAGAACAACACCUUUUCACAACCAAUCAGUCGUAGUCACGUCGUUCAGACACUGGAGUUUUACUGGGAUCACUCUCAAUGUGAGGAGAAUUCGGG